UUCUAACUGGCCCUGUUAAUUCAGAGGGAGAAAAACGUUUGGAAUGUUAUUUGUGGAACUGUAACUGUGACCUCAACUCAGUACAACAUGCCCAGGCAGGAUAUCCUGCACCGGUGACCUCAACACUCUGCCAAGAAGAAAGCCAUCAUGACAUGCAACCCUUUGAACUUGGCCCAUUAGAACUGAUUAUGGGUGACCAUCUCCAAACAGCAAAAAGUUACAGAGGAAAUUUCAUCUGCAAGGAGGAGAUAAAAAGGUUUCCAAGCCACAGCAGACAGGUGAGGAGCUGAGCCCUGUGGAGUUGAGCUUCUGUCCAACCACCAACCUGGGCCUCCAAGGAGGGAGCAGAGCCAUGAAGGCACCUGCAGCACCACGCCAGUGCCACUGCCCCUCCCCCUGCCCCUCAACCCUGCCUCUGGACUUGGCUGGAUCCACACCAAAGAGAAAUGUGAGGAGCAUUCUCUUUGUAUCCUCUUAGCUGGAGAGAGAUCUUCAGGGAUCUUUCUAAUGAUGAAGACAGACUCCCAAGAGGAAGAGAACACGCAAGUUUUUAUGAUGUGAAAUGAAGUCAAUUUCAGAUUUAUCCUAUGUGACCAGAGAACUUAAAGGGCUUCUGGGAAUGAAGUGAACGGCCGAACACUGGGGCACUGGCAAGAAUGUUUUAUUCUUUUAAUAGAGCCCCCUUUUCAAGAGGUUACUGAAGCUGAUGAACAUGCCCUGGGUAGAACCAGAAACCACUAAUCCGGGCAGUCUUUUGCUCAUUUGAGGAAAGGAUGAAAUAUACUUUUAUCUUCCUUCUGAGGAGUUUGCCCACCUGCAUCUCAUACCAGGAAUCCUGACCCUACUUACCUAGUACCAUCAUUUUUUAUUCUUUUAUUAUCAGGGACUGUGAAGACAUAAGAUACUAUCACAAUUAACAAGAGGAACAUCUGCUCUUAGAAUCCCAAAUUCUAAUUUGCUCUUAGAAAUUACACAUUUUGGAUCUGAAAUGUCCCUUCAAGUCUCAGCUGUUCAAAGGUAAUUGGAUGAUAGGGGUGCAGUACUCAGUGGAGCACGCAUCCGUGGUGAGCUCAGCAGUGGGGUGGCUGGUAAAAGGUGGGCCUGGUCAGAAGAGGAGGUCACGGGGGUAUGACCCGGAAGGGUAUCCCUCCUGCCCCGGCUCAGUCAUCCUGGUCUGUUUUAUGUAUUAAAGAUAGAAGAAUUUCACCAACUGAGCUGCUGGUGUAUCUGUACCUCAGCCCUCUCCAGAAAUAAAGAGAAAAUACAGAGAGACAGACUUGACUCAUAGCCUACUUUUAAUCUUUUUCUGUUGUUGUUUGGAAAAAAUUCCAAAUUUUAAAAAGCUAGCAUUUUAGAGUUGUCAUCACAUUCUUUUCUGAGGAGAAACACAUCAGUUCAACCAUCAUUUAUCUUUACCUUCUGUACCCUCUGUAGCUGAGGUCUGACUUCACAAACUCGUCAUGCUAAAUUGCCCCGUGUAACAUGCCUCUCCUCAGUCUUGUCAAGGAGCUAAGUUAGUUUGAGAUUCUUUUGUUUUUUUUUUCCUUUUUUAUUAUUUAUUAGUACACGUAGGUAGCACACAAUGCUCACAUUUCUUGUGGAAAGUUGGCAUAUGUACCUCACAGAUCUUAAUUCUGUUUCUCUUUCCUCUCUUUACCCAUCUCUGAAUCCCCAGAAGGAGGUGUUUGAAAAUCUCUAGCAUAGUCCCCUCACUUUACACACUCCAAGGAAAACUUCUGUGUUGCAAUAACUAGUUGGAGAUUACUCAGACCUGUAGCAAAGACAAAGCCAGAGUCCACCUGACCCUUUUUUCAUAUCCCCUGCUUUCCCGCCUACCCUAGAUCGAAUCAUUCAGUCUCUGAAGUUUCCAUUUAUCCAGCAUAUGCCUUCUAGAGAUUGGGCUUCAUGCAAGGAAGUCAUGAAUCCUACUAGAUGCAACUCAAACUUUGUGGGGAAAUCUAGACAUAAACUUAAGUGUUGCUAGGAACCUCGCACAAUUCAGUCACCUGCCUUGCUAUGUUCCCUUUGACUCAUAGACUUUUAUCUCUAUUUGAAUUAUUACCAUGUCAGAGAAUGCUUUAAUUUCUAAAAAGACUACCCCAUUCCUGAGCAGGACUUAAGUGGAAAAUUACAUUAUUUUAAGCAAAACAUGCUAAUUCAGAAUUUCUACCAAUCAGCCAAGGUUUCCUACUAGGGAGAAUAUGGCUUAGUUCUCUACCCCAGGAUAGCAGACCAGAAAACCAUCUCCCUUGAGUCUUAGUAUUAGAAGCUUUGAAAUUUAAUAAGGUAUUUCCACCCCAGAGGGCACUGCUAGAGAAAUUUCAAACCUAAGGCCUC